rnacentral:rRNA from 1 species
UUCGCCCUUAGAGUUUGAUCAUGGCUCAGAUUGAACGCUGGCGGCAUGCUUUACACAUGCAAGUCGAACGGCAGCGGGGGCUUCGGCCCGCCGGCGAGUGGCGAACGGGUGAGUAAUACAUCGGAACGUGUCCUUAAGUGGGGAAUAACGCAUCGAAAGAUGUGCUAAUACCGCAUAUCUCUCAGGAGGAAAGCAGGGGAUCGAAAGACCUUGCGCUAAAGGAGCGGCUGAUGUCUGAUUAGCUAGUUGGUGGGGUAAAGGCUUACCAAGGCAACGAUCAGUAGCUGGUCUGAGAGGACGACCAGCCACACUGGGACUGAGACACGGCCCAGACUCCUACGGGAGGCAGCAGUGGGGAAUUUUGGACAAUGGGCGAAAGCCUGAUCCAGCCAUGCCGCGUGAGUGAAGAAGGCCUUCGGGUUGUAAAGCUCUUUUAGUCGGAAAGAAAGAGUCAUAGUAAAUAGCUAUGAUUUAUGACGGUACCGACAGAAAAAGCACCGGCUAACUACGUGCCAGCAGCCGCGGUAAUACGUAGGGUGCGAGCGUUAAUCGGAAUUACUGGGCGUAAAGGGUGCGCAGGCGGCCUUGUAAGUCAGAUGUGAAAGCCCCGGGCUUAACCUGGGAAUUGCGUUUGAAACUACAAAGCUAGAGUGCAGCAGAGGGGAGUGGAAUUCCAUGUGUAGCAGUGAAAUGCGUAGAGAUGUGGAAGAACACCGAUGGCGAAGGCAGCUCCCUGGGUUGACACUGACGCUCAUGCACGAAAGCGUGGGGAGCAAACA